rnacentral:rRNA from 1 species
ACGGUUACCUUGUUACGACUUCACCCCAGUUACCGGCUCCACCUUCGGCAGCUCCCUCCAAAAGCUUCAGCUUUUUGUGGUUGGGUCACUGACUUCGGGCAUUUCCGACUCCCAUGGUGUGACGGGCGGUGUGUACAAGACCCGGGAACGUAUUCACCGCGACAUUCUGAUUCGCGAUUACUAGCGAUUCCAGCUUCAUGUAGUCGGGUUGCAGACUACAAUCCGAACUGGGACGUUAUUUCUGGGAUUUGCUCCGUGUCGCCACUUCGCCUCCCUUUGUUUACGCCAUUGUAGCACGUGUGUCGCCCUGGCCAUAAGGGGCAUGAUGAUUUGACGUCAUCCCCGCCUUCCUCCCGGUUCUCCCGGGCACUCUCUCCAGAGUCCCCAUCCGAAAUGCUGGUUACUGGAAACAGGGGUUGCGCUCGUUGCGGGACUUAACCCAACAUCUCACGACACGAGCUGACGACAACCAUGCACCACCUGUCUCCGGUGUCCCGAGGGAAACAUGGCAUUGCCCA